GGCCAGAACACCCUCAACAUCACACACGCUCCCCUUCUCCAGCACAAAAACACAGCACUAGGAGACCAGGUUUCAGAAUGACCAAAAGAACCCCUCCUCAAGUCCCUUAAAGAAGACAGUUUACGUAGUUCUUUGAAACCACCCGUCCAUUUUCGUCCAGACAAUAUAUCCACCCCCCAAUUUUCUCUCCUCCCUCUCUCCCCUCUGCCCUUUAAAAGAAAAGAAGACCAAUAAAAUUUUUAGAGAGAGAGAGAAUAAUUUUAGAGAGAUAAACGAAAAGAAAUGGAUGGUAGCAGCAGCGGAGGCGGAAACGGUUACAGAGUAGAAGCAGAGCGGUGGUUAACUAUAUCGGAGAAACUCUUAGCAGCACGUGACUUGCACGGGGCUAAGAGCUUCGCGAUCCGAGCCAGAGCAUCCGACCCGAGACUCUACGAAUUCUCCGAUCAAAUCAUCGCCGUUGCCGACACUCUUCUCGCCGGAGAGUUACGUGUCGAGAACAAUCACCACUAUGAUUACUAUAUGAUUCUCCAACUCGGUCGCUUGACCCAGGAUCUCGAACUCAUUGCGGAUCAGUAUCGGAAGCUCGCCUUGUUGCUCAACCCGACGAGGAACCGGCUACUCUUCGCUGAUCAGGCGUUCAAGCUUGUGUCGGAGGCCUGGAUUGUGCUUUCGAAUCCUGCUAAGAAGGCAAUGUAUGAUCAUGAGUUACAACUGAGUCAGCUCGGUCUUCUCGUGACUCAGCAACCGCUACCUCCACCAUUUCAACAGCAACUGCCGUCUAAUCCUGAACCGAUUCGGCCUGUCCCGCAGUUCAGUAUGCCAUGGAUGCCUGAGUCGUCAAUUCGGUUCCCCUCUCAGACCAAACCCGCCGAGUCACCUCGUUCACAGACUCAGCAGAGAAAUCCCGAGCCAACUUGGCGACAGCCUCAGCAGAAACCAAUUGAACCGCCUAAGCAGCCUACCCCGCCGAAGGCCGCCACUGAGCUAAAUAAGCAGCCAACUCCGUCUAAGGCUCCCAAUGAGCCAACUCGGCAGCCUACCCCGCUGAAGGCUGCCACUGAGCUAUAUAAGCUGUCAACCUCGUCUAAGGAUCCCAGUGAGCCUACGCCGCUGAAGUCUUCCACUGAGCCAAAUAAGCAGUCAACUCUGUCUAAGAUUCCCACUGAGCCAACUCGGCCAGAGGUUGUGAUUGGGUUAUCUCGAUCAGCGCCAAAACCGAGUGCCACUGAUUCGAGGCAAGCGAUGAAGCACACAACCGCCUUCACCGCUGCUGCUGCAACUGGGACAAAGCAUGCGAAUGCGAGUGAGCCAGAGUUAUCGAGUUUUUGGACUGCGUGUCCUUAUUGUUAUAUACUUUACGAGUACCCUAAAGCUUACGAGGAGUGUACUCUAAGGUGUCAAAGUUGUAGAAGGGCAUUUCAUGCUGUCAUGGUACCAGCACCACCGGUGACUGGUAAAGAUACAUACUUUUGCUGCUGGGGUUUUUUUCCGUUGGGUUUUUCAGGUAAUAAUGAGAAAGGAGGUAAUGAGUUUGGUAGUAAUUGGUCUCCGUUUUCUGCAAUGUUUUCCACUCCUUUCCCAGCUGGUGGUGCUGUUGGUAGUGGUGGUCAAAUGUAUAAUAAAGUGAAGCAAAAGGUGAUUUAUAAAGAUGAUGUGUAUAUAGAUAUCUCUGACACAAGUGAAGAUGAGUCUGAUUCCGGUGAUGAGUGGGGUGUAAAAAAGAGAAAGAAACGAAAAAAUGCAAAGGGGAAAGGAACUCCGAAUAAACAUGCGAAAAAAUCACAAAAUGAAAGAUUGAAGAAGGGGGUAGGAGCAGGGGCUGGAACAGAAAAUAUUCAAAAUGAGGUUGGUGAUGGUGGGGGUAGUGUGCCAGAGGAGGUGGUGGAAAAGGGGGAAGGGAGUUGUGGCAAAAGGAAGGCAGCAAAAGAUUUGGGAAAGUUGGACUUGAAUGUGAUGUUUAGUAAUGAGGUGGAUGAGUCUGCACCUGGACCAAGUCAAAGGAAUGGGCCUGGGCAUGGGGAGGAGGAUAAUAUUGAAGGGAUUAGUUUUUUUGAGGGUCUUGAUGAGUUUUUAAGUACCUUGCCCAUACUUUCGGUUGUAGGGGAUGAUAAGGUGAAGGCUACUUAGCGAUGCAUAUUGGCUUUUGGGCAUUUUGUUUGCAGAAUUGCCUAGUAGUUGAAAUCUAAUUUUAUCUUGGUUGAUUUAGUUACUCCUUAACUAUCUGGAAUGGUUUGUUUCGUCUGUUUGGACUUUGAUGUUGGUGAGUGUUUGGUUGCAAGUAGCAGCGCAAAAUUCAGUUCAGUGAAUGACUGAGAGGAGCUUGAUCUUCAUUCUGAAAGGCAUGUAGGUUGAACAGCUCCUCAGCAGUGUAUGACGCUCAAGGAAUAUUUUGUGAGAUGAUGGAAAUGAGUUGCCUAUAAGUGAUGUAGCCCCCUGCAGUCCUUUUUCAUGAGAAGUGGCCGUGGACUCAUUUGGGCUAUCCAGGUAUCAUCUGCUGCUCUCACUCCCAGACAUGAGGUUUCCCUGUGAAGACAGUGAACGUGCAAUUCUUAAACGUGCGCCUGAAUAAGCUUUAUUGUCCAUUGAUGACAGUUAACUUUUCCAAAAUAUAGUUUCUGUGCCAUUAAUCUACCUUUUAGUUUCCCUAAGAUGCAUCUUCUUCCUCUGCCGAGUAUCAUUUAGUCUUAUCCUUCCCUUGUUGUGAUUGCGCAACCAUCCUUACCCACAUUUUGUUUGGUGCUACUCAUCAAGCAGCUGGGUUUACGUUUUGCCACUGACAGAAUUAAUAUAUACAUGCUCUCUCUGUAUGCUGCUCCAUCAUUGCAUGGUAGACCAUAGCGUUCAUUUUCAAA